rnacentral:siRNA from 1 species
CGCCCUUCACAUGAAUUGUGACAUGUGCACCGUCCUGUACGGCAAAUUCAUAUCUUUCCAAUCGGCCGUUAAGUCCAACGACUGAAUUUGUCUGUAACAGGUUGUUUUUCAUCUUUAGAGGUAUGGUUACGGACUCUCCGUUUUUUAUUGAUGCAAUCUCUGUCUUAUUAAGAUAUAUAAUUGUAGGCACAAGUACCGUAACAGGGCUUGAAUCGCGGAUGAUUGUCAAUGAGGCGGGUGUCUGCAAAGUAACAUUGGCAGUAGUAGCCCAGCGUUUUUGUUCAUUCGCUUCCUUUUCAAUAGUUCGGUUCGCUAUUCUGUCUGUUAGCCUAUUCAACAGAUAUUUCAAUAUGCUGAAAAUUACCGCCACUAUAACAAUGAUGACCCAUUCAGGCACAGAGGAAAAGUGAAGCUUUACUAAAGCUCCUAGCAUUAUUGCUGUAACCGUUAUGAAUAAUGUGCCUACAAAUGAUAUUUGUGACGCCCACCACGCGCCCUCGUACUUUUUCCACCAAAAGAACAACAUACUUUUUCUGUUUUAUGCCCCCGCUGUAACGGAAGCGAUUA